rnacentral:rRNA from 1 species
UACGUAGGUGGCAAGCGAUACUCGGAAUCACUAGGCGUAAAGCGCAGGUAGGCGGUUCGGUAAGUCUUUUGUGAAAGCUCCCGGCUUAACUGGGAGAGGUCAAGGGAAACUACCGGGCUAGAGUGCGGAAGAGGAAACUGGAAUUCCCGGUGUAGCGGUGAAAUGCGUAGAUAUCAGGAGGAACACCUGUGGUGUAGACAGCUUACUGGACCAUCACUGACGCUGAGACACGAAAGCGUGGGUAGCAAACAGG